UACGGGGGGGGCAAGCGUUGUUCGGAAUUACUGGGCGUAAAGGGUUCGUAGGUGGCUUGUUAAGUCAGACGUGAAAUCCCUCGGCUCAACCGGGGAACUGCGUCUGAGACUGAUGAGCUCGAGUGCAGGAGAGGAACGCGGAAUUCCAGGUGUAGCGGUGAAAUGCGUAGAUAUCUGGAGGAACACCGGUGGCGAAGGCGGCAUCCUGGACCAAUACUGACGCUGAGGAGCGAAAGCCAGGGGAGCAAACGGG
rnacentral:rRNA from 1 species